AUUGAACGCUGGCGGCAUGCUUUACACAUGCAAGUCGAACGGCAGCGCGGGGCAACCUGGCGGCGAGUGGCGAACGGGUGAGUAAUAUAUCGGAACGUACCCAAGAGUGGGGGAUAACGUAGCGAAAGUUACGCUAAUACCGCAUACGAUCUAUGGAUGAAAGCAGGGGAUCUUCGGACCUUGUGCUCCUGGAGCGGCCGAUAUCUGAUUAGCUAGUUGGUGAGGUAAAGGCUCACCAAGGCGACGAUCAGUAGCUGGUCUGAGAGGACGACCAGCCACACUGGAACUGAGACACGGUCCAGACUCCUACGGGAGGCAGCAGUGGGGAAUUUUGGACAAUGGGCGCAAGCCUGAUCCAGCAAUGCCGCGUGAGUGAAGAAGGCCUUCGGGUUGUAAAGCUCUUUUGUCAGGGAAGAAACGGUUGGGGCUAAUAUCCUCGGCUAAUGACGGUACCUGAAGAAUAAGCACCGGCUAACUACGUGCCAGCAGCCGCGGUAAUAC
rnacentral:rRNA from 1 species